rnacentral:rRNA from 1 species
GUGGAUUAGAUACCCUGGUAGUCCACGCCGUAAACGUUGGGCACUAGGUGUGGGUCUCAACCAACGAGAUCCGCGCCGUCGCUAACGCAUUAAGUGCCCCGCCUGGGGAGUACGGUCGCAAGACUAAAACUCAAAGGAAUUGACGGGGGCCCGCACAAGCAGCGGAGCGUGUUGCUUAAUUCGAUGUUACGCGAAGAACCUUACCUGGGUUUGACAUGUAGGGAAAAGCUCUGGAGACAGGGUGUCCUAACGGGCCCUACACAGGUGGUGCAUGGCCGUCGUCAACU